GACGAACGCGGGCGGCGUGCCUAUACAUGCAAGUCGAGCGAAGUUUUUCUGGUGCUUGCACUAGAAAAACUUAGCGGCGAACGGGUGAGUAACACGUAAAGAACCUGCCUCAUAGACUGGGACAACUAUUGGAAACGAUAGCUAAUACCGGAUAACAGCAUUAACUGCAUGGUUGAUGUUUAAAAGUUGGUUUUGCUAACACUUGAGAUGGCUUUGCGGUGCAUUAGCUAGUUGGUGGGGUAAAGGCCUACCAAGGCGACGAUGCAUAGCCGACCUGAGAGGGUGAUCGGCCACACUGGGACUGAGACACGGCCCAGACUCCUACGGGAGGCAGCAGUAGGGAAUCAUCCGCAAUGGGCGAAAGCCUGACGGAGCAACGCCGCGUGAGUGAAGAAGGAUUUCGGUUCGUAAAGCUCUGUUGUUAGGGAAGAAA
rnacentral:rRNA from 1 species